ensembl:lncRNA
CCAGAGACAGAGAGGACCAGGUCCUAACAGAACCAACUAGAGUCUAUAGACUUUAUACUCAGAGACAAAGAGGACUGGGGCCUAACAGAACCAACUAGAGUCUAUAGACUUUAUACCCAGAGACAGAGAGGACCAGGUCCUAACAGAACCAACUAGAGUCUAUAGACUUCAUACCCAGAGAGGACCAGGUCCUAACAGAGCCAACUAGAGUCUAUAGACUUUAUACUCAGAGACAAAGAGGACCAGGUCCUAACAGAACCAACUAGAGUCUAUAGACUUUAUACCCAGAGAGGACUGGGUCCUAACAGAACCAACUAGACUCUAUAGACUUUAUACUCAGAGAGUACUGGGUCCUAACAGAACCAACUAGAGUCUAUAGACUUUAUACCCAGAGACAGAGAGGACCAGGUCCUAACAGAACCAACUAGAGUCUAUAGACUUUAUACCCAAAGACAGAGAGGACUGGCUCCUGACAGAACCAAGUAAAGGUUAUAGACUUUAUACUCAGAUACAAAGAGGACUGGGUCCUAACAGAACCAACUAGAGUCUAUAGACUUUAUACCCAGAGACAGAGAGGACCAGGUCCUAACAGAACCAACUAGAGUCUAUAGACUUUAUACCCAGAGACAGAGAGGACCAGGUCCUAACAGAACCAACUAGAGUCUAUAUACUUUAUACCCAUAGACAGAGAGGACCAGGUCAUAACAGAACCAACUAGUCAUUAUACUUUAUACCCAGAGAGGACUGUGUCCUAACAGAACCAAUACCCCUUCUCUGUCUGACUCACACCGUGGAAUCUAAGGUCAAGGCAAAUGAAAAGAAAACCAACAGAAGACCAGAGGUAACCCAAACAAACUACGGUGGGUAACUGCGUACCCAAGAGGCAAAGACCAUGAAUGGUUCAUCUGUUAAUGACGUCAAACUGUAGACAAACGUUCACGGAACAAGGACACUAGAGACAUUAGAGACUUGGAAGGCGUUCCCCAGGGUAACACUGUAACACGGCUAUAAUGACCCCAUAACACUCAAUGUUUUUGGGAUAUACAUACAUAGACUGUGGCACUUUAAGUGGAGCUUGCAACAUAUCUACUAAAGCUGGGAUGGGUUUUAAAACACAAAGGUAUACUAAACCCACAACAUUCAGCUGUCCUUAUGGCACCAAGCCCACUAACCCAUUUCAACCAAGUUGGUCUUGUAAAGAACCAAAUCAUCUACAAACAAGCCAUGCACAAUUCUUUCAGUCUAAUAUGGCAAUUAGUUACAAUUCCUCGUCAUUUCCCCUUCUUGCUUAAAAUACAAGGUGUUUUGUGUAAACCAUGAAAAAAUAAUAUAAAUUAAAGAAAAACAAACUGAAAAUAACAUAAAAGAGAGUCUUGGUCUGCUGACAUACCAAACUAGUGGGCGUGACUAUCUCCUCAUGUUGACAUUCAAAGUGUGUCCGGUGUUUUAAUGGAUGACGCCUCCACAGACAUAAAGGCUGGCUGUAAUGUUCUGUAGAUGACAUAGUUCCUCUCUGUGUAGGAGGUGCUGUUGUCCGUAUGGUGUGUGUAGAAUACACAUGUUCACCACCUUAUGACA